rnacentral:tRNA from 1 species
GCGGAGGUGGCCCAGCCCGGCAAGGCGAUGGAUUGCUAAUCCAUUGUUCGCAAGGACCCGGGGGUUCGAAUCCCCCCCUUCGCGCCA